CUAUCUCAAAAUACCAAGAGAGAAAAAUGUCUGCAUGGUAUCUGUCCAUGGUACCAAUGGAACCCAAACGUCCCCGUUUUCAGAACCGUCUUAGGGAGAGUUUUGGCUCACUUGAAGAGCUUGGUCCAAAAGGAGGCCUUUCAAGAGUAGAUUAUAGCCGCCUGCAGAAAUUCCUGAGGCAAUUUACUAAGAAAAGAGAUGCAAAGAACAAACACAGAAAGCAACAAUGACUCCACCGCUCCCCUCCUUCCU
rnacentral:lncRNA from 1 species